UUUAACUAAAUGAGUGCGGUAAGUUGGAAGUGUACAAAUGUAUCAACAAUUAACUGUAAGGAGUAGGCAGUACUAACGAGCGUCUGCCGUGACCAACCCGAUCACAGCGACUGUCAAACGCAAGCGUACACUACGCAGAGCCACAUAACAUUCCCGGGAUCGGAUUUUUUUAAAAGAUUAUUAUCGUCGUUUAGCUAAAUAAAACAAUCUCACAAUAAACUUUCUUCCAACAUUUUUGUGCAAUCUCAAAUCCAGAUGAUGCCAAGAACAUGAUUAAGGUUUUUAAAAGGUGUCUAUUGAAAAUACCUACCAGAAAGUUUGCGAUUCUCUGGGACAGAGUUUGACGACCGUUAAGCGAGAAGUCAAGUGUGAGAGGAAGGUCGGAGGUAUUGUUCCGCAGGAUGAAUCGUAUCAUCUCCAGAUUUCUUCCAAACGGAGUUUUUUUUGACCCGGUGUCAAUGCUAAAUUAUUGUUGUUUUUGAUCGACAUUUUACAGUGCAUACGAAGGAUUUAUCCAAAUGUAGGUAUUCGGUACAUUUCUGUUUAGCCAUUGCUGAUUGAUGCUGUAGACAUCUGUGCUCGCCUACGGAUUUCCCCGUCAAAUCCUCCCCGGUUCCUUAUGAGUGAUCAUAAACCAAGUGGCGUUUGUGUUUUGUAUGGGCUUAUAAGCUGAACAAUAAUGUUAACGCAGAAGGAUAAAAACACAAGAAAGAAGUGGCUAUUAUUUACCUUCUUCGUUCCUUGCAUUUUAGUAGCUUGUUACAAAAGUUCUUAAUUUUGAAAUUGUUGCAAUACAAGUUAUUUCAUUGUUAUAAAUUAUAUAAAGCAAAUUAUAAUAUUAAUUUAAUAAAUGUUUGACGUCCAAUAUAACCUGGAGUCUCAGUUCAGAAUAAGAAAGAUAAUAAUAACAAUACUUAAAAAAUAAAAUUAUACAGUACAAGUUACAGGGUUUCUGAUACUGUUAUAGAGUUUACAUUUAUAAUUUGUUUAAAUUAAAAGACAUGUAUAACUACGUAAUAAUAAUAAUAAUGGUCGUGUAUACAAAAAAAAAAAACAACUGUAUUCGACUUGUGUCACCAC